UAAGCAUACGGCGAAUGCCUUGGCGUUACGUGCCGAUGAAGGACGGGACAACGCACCGAUAUGCGCGGGGGAGUGGCUUGUACACAGUGAUCCCGCGAUUUCCGAAUGGGGCAACCCACUCACCUUGUGUGAGUACCUCACUUUUGUGAGGAGGGCACCAGGCGAACUGAAACAUCUCAGUACCCUGUGGAAGAGUAAUUUACACCCGUAGUAGUGGCGAACGAACCGGGUUGAGCCUAAACGCUGCUCGUGCCAAUGGACUAGCACUUGCGGGCAGCGGGUUGUAGGGUUAGCAUGGGACGACCUAGUCAGCGUCCCCCAGAUACUUCAUUGAACUCCGAAGGCGUUUGGAAUACGCCGCCAUAGAGCGUGAAAGCCGCGUAAUCGUUUGAUGAACAUCCUGGCGCUAAUUCCUGAGUAGGGCCAGACACGUGAAAUCUGACCUGAAUCUAGGGGGCCCACCCUCUAAGGCAACCUACACGUAACGACCGAUAGCGCACAGUACCGUGAGGGAACGGUGAAAAGAACCCCGGUUAGGGGAGUGAAAUAGAACCUGAAACCGUAUGCUUCCAUACCGUCGAAGGGCGUGGUGAUGUUUACAUCACUGCCUAACGGCGUGCCUUUUGGAGUAUGAUCCGGCGAGUUUGUCUUUGUGGCUUGGUUAAGACAGUUAUAGUCGUAGCCAUAGUGAAAGCGAGCCUGAAUAGGGCGUUUGUCGCAAGGAUAAGACCCGAAACCGCGUGAGCUACCCAUGGCCAGGCUGAAGCGUUCCUAACAGAACGUGGAGGGCCGAACCGGUGUCUGUUGCAAAAGGCUCGGAUGAGCUGUGGGUAGGGGUGAAAUGCCAAUCGAACGCGGAGAUAGCUGGUUCUCCCCGAAAUGUAUUGAGGUACAGCCGUGGUAUAUACUGUUGGCGGAGGUAGAGCACUGUUGUUGUAAGGGGGCUUCACCGCUUACCGAGCGACGGCAAACUCCGAAUGCCGCCAUCAGCUUCCCACGAGUGAGACAGUGGGUGCUAACAUUCAUUGUCAAAAGGGAAACAACCCAGACCUGCUGCUAAGGCCCCCAAGUGGUGACUGAGUGGGAAAGGUUGUUCGGACGCGUAGACAACCAGGAGGUUGGCUCAGAAGCAGCCACCCUUUAAAGAGUGCGUAAUAGCUCACUGGUCGAGUGUCCGAGCGCCGAUACUUUAACGGGGCAAAGUCUCCCGCCGAAGCACAGGAUUGGUCUUUACCAGACCAAUGGUAGGGGAGCGUGGUGGUUGCAGUGAAGGCCGAGCGGAAGCCCGACUGGAGCGACCACCAGUGCGAAUGCCGGAAUGAGUAACAGUGAAGGGGGGUGAGAACCCCCCCCACCGCAAGCCUAAGGUUUCCGCCGCAAGGGUGUUCCGCGGCGGGUUAGUCGGCCCUUAGGUGUAGGCGCUAGCCGAAACCGAUGGACAACAGGUACAUAUUCCUGUACCACUGAAUGUCCGUUUGACCGAUGCGGGAUGCUGAGGGGUAGACCUCGCGACGAGACGUGCGUCGUCCAAGCCGGUAGGGAGUAUCUGGUGGUAAGUCCCCAGGUACGUUGACCGAGAGGCGAUAGAAAGGGAAUGAGCUUGCUCUUUCCCAAUGAGGUUACGCCUGUGCAGCCUAGAAAGGCCUGCUAGGGAGGACAUUUGGUGACCGUACCGCAAACCGACACAGGUAGGUGGAUUGAGUAAAUUAAGGUGGACGAGUGAUCCCUGGUUAAGGAACUCGGCAAAUUGACCCCGUACCUUCGGAAGAAGGGGUGCUGCUAAGGGUGUAGCCUUUUACAGGUGAAGCUCUAGGCAGCCGCAGCAAAGAGGCCCAGGCGACUGGAUACCAGAACCACAGCUCCCUGCUCAAGCCGCAAGGCGACGUAUAGGGGGUGAUGCCUGCCCAGUGCUGGAAGGUUAAGGGGAGGGGUGAAAGCUCCGAACCGAAGCCCCAGUGAACGGCGGCUGUAACUAUAACAGUCCUAAGGUAGCGAAAUUCCUUGUCGGGUAAGUUCCGACCCGCACGAAAGGCAUCACGAUCUGGGCACUGUCUCAACCAGGGGCUCGGUGAAAUUGCACUGCCGGUGAAGAUGCCGGCACCGCAUAGCAGGACAAAAAGACCCCGUGGAGCUUUACUCUACCUUGCCAUCGGCUUAGGGCGUAGGAUGCGUAGCAUAGGUGGGAGGCUUUGAACGUUCCCUCGCGGGGGAACGGGAGCCGCCAUUGAAAUACCACUCUUUUUACGCUUUGGGCCUCACCCUUACAACAUAAGGGGACGGUGGCUGGGGGGGAGUUUGACUGGGGCGGUCGCCUCCUAAAUUGUAACGGAGGUGCGCAACGGUACCCUCAGGUGGGAUGGCAACCCACCGUAGCGUGGAACGGCAUAAGGGUGCUUGACUGCAAGGCUUACAAGCCGCGCAGAGCCGAAAGGCGGCCGUACUGAUCCCACAGUGCUGCGUGGAAAGGCUGUGGCUUAACGGACAAAAGCUACCCCGGGGAUAACAGGCUCAGACCUCCCAAGAGUUCAUAUCGACGGAGGAGCGUGGCACCUCGAUGUCGGCUCGUCGUAUCCUGGGGCUGGAGUAGGUCCCAAGGGUUGGGCUGUUCGCCCAUUAAAACGGCACGCGAGCUGGGUUCAGAACGUCGUGAGACAGUUCGGUCUCUAUCCGCUAUGCGCGUUUAGAGUAUUGCGGGGAGCUGGCCCUAGUACGAGAGGACCGGGCUGGACGCACCGCUGGUGGAGGUGUUGUGGGACGACCUGCAAGCACCGUAGCUACGUGCGGCAACAUAAACCGCUGAAAGCAUCUAAGUGGGAAGUGUGCCCCUAGAUUAGUACUCUCUCUGCUUUUAGGCAGGUAAGCCUCCCAGAAGAUUACUGGGUUAAGCGGCUCAAGCUGUAAGUCCCGUGAGGGAUUGAGGCAACGAGUGCGCACAGGCGAGGGCUUCUUUGC
rnacentral:rRNA from 1 species